rnacentral:rRNA from 1 species
ACUCAAAGGAAUUGACGGGGGCCCGCACAAGCGGUGGAGCAUGUGGUUUAAUUCGACGCAACGCGAAGAACCUUACCCAGACUUGACAUUGAUGGAAUCCCCUUGAAAGAGGGGAGUACUCUUCGGAGACCUGAAAACAGGUGCUGCAUGGCUGUCGUCAGCUCGUGUCGUGAGAUGUUGGGUUAAGUCCCGCAACGAGCGCAACCCUUGUCGUUAGUUGCCAUCGGGUCAUGCCGGGCACUCUAGCGAGACUGCCGGUGUUAAACCGGAGGAAGGUGGGGAUGACGUCAAGUCCUCAUGGCCUUUAUGUCUGGGGCUACACACGUGCUACAAUGGCAUCUACAAACUGACGCGAACUCGUGAGAGGGUGCAAAUCGGAAAAAAGAUGUCUCAGUUCGGAUCGAAGUCUGCAACUCGACUUCGUGAAGUCGGAAUCGCUAGUAAUCGUGGAUCAGCAUGCCACGGUGAAUACGUUCCCGGGCCUUGUACACACCGCCCGU